ensembl:lncRNA
AGGCCAUCUUGGCUAAUGUGCUCUCUCCCCACACCCUUCCAACCUGUGCUCAAAUACUAGCCCCGAGGAGGCCCAUCUGACCGUCCUGUUUAAUACUGCAGCCCACCUCCACCCAGAACACUGGACUCUCUUCACCCAGCUCCAAGCUUUCAUUUUCCAAACUCUUAGCACCUUCAAGAACAGAGAGGCAGCAUCCGCACAAAGCCCUUAAAAAGCUGAGGUUGUCAGGAAAGGAGCCAGGAGCAUAGCCCUGAGACAGCUCCAAGUGCUGUGGAGACACGAGGGAAAAUAGAUGUAGAAACGGGAGAGCCAGGCUGGAAUAGAAUGAGAGCAGGAAUCCAGCGUUUGCUCAGAGCCUGGAAGGAAGUGAGAGCUGGGCUGGGUGAUGGCGGACGAGGGGCACAGAUGUGGCCUCUGGCAAAUAGGGCCCGACUCGCCAAGGCAUUGCCCUCCCUCCGAGGUCUCCAAACACACCCGCCUUUUACCAGGUCCUCUGUGUGCGGAGCUGUAACUGCACAGGGACCGUAGCUACUUCUGUGUACGACACGCCUCUUUCCUAGCCCCGCCCCCACCGCCCUCUGGGGAGCGCCCGACUUUGGCCAGCCCUGUACCAUCACUGUGCAUGUUGGACAGAUGCCAGCAGAAAAAGCGACGGCACUUGAGUGGCUGCGUGUGUCCAGUGAGUGGUGAUGUUCUCUGUGUGCAGGGAAUAUGGAGAAAUCCAACCGCAAACAGCACUGCUCUCCUCCCAGCCCCACAUUUGUAGAAUAUUCUGGAAAAGGCUCACCUCAUCCAAAGAAGACCUAAAGUGAUGAUGCUCCCCUACAACCAUCAGGAGACCCUCAAAACAGUCACUUUGGUCAGAAAGGGAAAAGAAGCCUGCUCAGUCAUGCUAAGGGGAGAGAGAUUCCAUAUGUAAGUGAUAUCGUUAUGAUAGAUACCAGCAUCCGGCUCCUCCUCACUACAGAACAUCUGAAGGAGAAGCUGUAGUGUCAUUGGGGUCCUUUUCUGGAUGUCCCAACCAUUCUUAUCCCGGAAAUCUGGCUUGUUCUGCACAAUGAUUCUUCUGGAAGUACAUUUCAGA